rnacentral:rRNA from 1 species
CCUACGGGAGGCUGCAGUGGGGAAUAUUGCACAAUGGGGGAAACCCUGAUGCAGCGACGCCGCGUGAGUGAAGAAGUAUUUCGGUAUGUAAAGCUCUAUCCUCAGUGAAGAAAAUGACGGUACCUGAUUAAGAAGUCCCGGCUAACUACGUGCCAGCAGCCGCGGUAAUACAUAGGGGGCAAGCGUUUGCCGGAGUUACUGGGUGUAAAGGGAGCGUAGACGGCAGCACAAAUCUGGAGUGAACUGCAUGGGCUUAAGCCCGGAACUGCUUUUGAAACUGUGCAGCUAGAGUGAAGGAGAGGUAAGUGGAAUGCGUAGUGUAGCGGUGAAAUGCGUAGAUAUUAGGAGGAACACCAGUGGCGAAGGCGGCUUACUGGACUGUAACUGACGUUGAGGCUCGAAAGCGUGGGGAGCAAACAGGAUUAGAUACCCCAGUAGUC